AUAAAACAUAAUGCAAAGAAACGUCGAAAGUUCACAUCGGCAAAACAACUGAUGACAAAAUUACAUUUGUUACUACGGAUGUUUACACAAAACUGAUUUCAAUUAAUUAAUUAUAAAUUUUUUAAUGAGCUUAUCUCUUCCUUAUUGAUUAUAUAUAAAGGCUGAUAUUAAUUAUAGUAGAGAUAAUUCAGUAUUUGUAAUAUGGUUCUUUAUUAAAAUGAAUGUGUUUUGGCUUUUUCAGUUCUGUUCGAGUGACACCCAACACUGAAGUUGGCGAAAUUCUACCGGACCGGACCUGCGAGAAUAGGUAGAGAAAAAAUAAUUGGUAUUGACUAAAUUAUUGUUUUCUCAGAUGCCAGUGACUGGUCCUAUCCUAGUUUGCCAGUUUCUGUGAGGAUCCACUUUGUGAUGGAGGAUUCUAGGUUUGUUUUUUGUUAACCCAGGAAUAGGUUCCAGAGCAUAUCAUCUUGCGGAUCCACCUUUAGCCAGUUUAUAGGGCCACUUGACUGACGGAUUUCACAGGAUUCUUUUGCCAGUUUAACCUCUUUUAAGAGUUUCAGUGCACAUUUAAAGCAUGCAUUUCAGCUUGAUUUCAAGGUGUACUUAUGAGUUUGAUUGUAUUUUGGCCUUGCAUAGAACCUAUUCCUUAAGUGGUUGUUGGGUGAUCUGUAUGCCACAUAACUUGAUAACUUUUAAGGAGUAGAACUGUUAUUGACUUAUUGCAGAAAUUCUUUUUCAGGGUCAUUUUGGUACCCUGGGUUAUGUCCCUGAGCAAUUGCUUUGCAUUUAAGUGCAUCUUGAUGAUUCAAUUAUAGACAACAUCAGCUGGGCUGAGGUGGGUGAGGCUUUAACUAAAUAAAAUUUAUAAUUUUGAAACGAGGGUGGUGGAUCUUGUCAGGCUGUCUUUAACUUGAGGUUUACACAGGAGUCUAGAGGAGACAAGACAUGACAAAACUCCAUGCUGUCACCUCAGCCAUGUGACCAGUUGAUAAUGAAACCGGUGUCGACUAGUGCAAGUGAUCUGGUACUGUCCAACUGUUUUUGAAUGAAUAACAAACUUUUUGAAAACACAGCUGAUUGUACAAAACAUUUGUAACAAUUAAAUUUGUAGAAAUACUGAAACUAAAUAUGUCGAGUCCUUUUUAUUCACCUACAAUAAAUAGUUGUGGAGAUGUAAGGUGAUAUCUAAGACAAGCUUAAAUCAUGUCACCAUUAGUCGCCGGGGGACAAGAGCCACUGUGACAAGUCGAGUCACAUCCAGUCACCUGUU